GUUUCUCACAAGAGCCUGCAUAAGGUCAACUCAUAAUAUGUAUGCAUCAACAGUAAAGAUUACAAAGUAAACGUUGAAGCAAAAAGAAUGGCGGGAGCCUAACCGUUUUGUAGUUAUCAAUGGUUACAAAUCCAUUUUGUGGCUCCAAAAGCUUGAAUUGGGUCCUGAGUGACAGAUUACCUUCAAUGCUGCACGCUUGAAAGGAGUUGCACGAAGAUAUGCCUUAACUGACUUGUAUAUGAAGUUAUCCAAGGGCACGGCAAGAUCUUCAUCUCGUAACCACGGGUGUGCUGUGAAUCAAAGAAGGCGUUUCACAAAAUCUUUAGCUUCUGGAGAGAUGGUCGGCCAAGGGGAAUCAUCGAAGUUAGGAUCGGCUCUUAGCACAGAGCGAAAGAUUCCUGAUUCAGUUCUUGCCCAGAAAGGUCUGCUCCCAC